rnacentral:rRNA from 1 species
CUACGGGUUGCUCCAGUGAGGAAUAUUGGUCAAUGGGCGAGAGCCUGAACCAGCCAUGCCGCGUGCAGGAUGACGGCCCUAUGGGUUGUAAACUGCUUUUGUACGGGAAGAAUAGGCGCCACGUGUGGCGAUUUGACGGUACCGUACGAAUAAGCACCGGCUAACUCCGUGCCAGCAGCCGCGGUAAUACGGAGGGUGCAGGCGUUAUCCGGAUUUAUUGGGUUUAAAGGGUGCGUAGGCGGGCUUAUAAGUCAGUGGUGAAAUCUCGUGGCUCAACCAUGAAAUUGCCAUUGAUACUGUAGGCCUUGAGGAUAGUUGAGGUAGGCGGAAUGUGUCAUGUAGCGGUGAAAUGCUUAGAUAUGACCCAGAACACCAAUUGCGUAGGCAGCUUGCUAAACUAUUACUGACGCUGAUGCACGAAAGCGUGGGUAGCGAACAGGAUUAGAUACCCCUGUAGUC